rnacentral:rRNA from 1 species
UGAGGAAUAUUGGUCAAUGGGCGAGAGCCUGAACCAGCCACGUCGCGUGAAGGAAGACUGACCUUACGGUUUGUAAACUUCUUUUGUAGAGGGGUAAUGGCAGAUACGUGUAUUUGCGUGAAAGUACUCUACGAAUAAGCAUCGGCUAACUCCGUGCCAGCAGCCGCGGUAAUACGGGGGAUGCGAGCGUUAUCCGGAAUUAUUGGGUUUAAAGGGUGCGCAGGUGGCUAAUCAAGUCAGUGGUGAAAAGCUAUGGCUCAACCAUGGUCUUGCCAUUGAAACCGUAUAGCUAGAGAGGAGACGAGGUAGGCGGAAUGUGUGGUGUAGCGGUGAAAUGCAUAGAUAUCACACAGAACUCCGAUUGCGAAGGCAGCUUACCAGGCUUUAUCUGACACUUAGGCACGACAGCGUGGGGAUCAAACAGG